GGGCGUCUCUUUUCUCUUUACGAGUGGAGGCGCACCUAUAGCGCACACGCUGAUACCCGAAAGAUGGUGAACUAUGCCUGGCCAGGACGAAGCCAGGGGAAACCCUGGUGGAGGUCCGCAGCGAUUCUGACGUGCAAAUCGAUCGUCGGAGCUGGGUAUAGGGGCGAAAGGCCAAUCGAACCAUCUAGUAGCUGGUUCCCUCUGAAGUUUCCCUCAGGAUAGCUUGCGCUCGGAGAGAAGAGUCUCAUCCGGUAGAGCGAAUGAUUAGAGGCCUUGGGGUCGAAACGACCUCAACCUAUUCUCAAACUCCAAAUAGAUGAGAUGCCCGGCUUGCUUGAAAGUGAAGCCGGGACUCGGAUCGGAGUGCCAAGUGGGCCAAUUUU
rnacentral:rRNA from 1 species